rnacentral:tRNA from 1 species
AUAUUUUUAAUAUAUAAAGUAUAUGUAACUUCCAAUUACAAGGACCUAACUAAGGAAAAAUAUA